rnacentral:rRNA from 1 species
GACGAACCGUACGAACGUUAUUCGGAAUCACUGGGCUUAAAGGGUGCGUAGGCGGCGGCGCAAGUUGGGUGUGAAAUCCCUCGGCUCAACCGAGGAACUGCGCUCAAAACUGCGUCGCUUGAGGAAGAUAGAGGUGAGUGGAACUUAGGGUGGAGCGGUGAAAUGCGUUGAUAUCCUAAGGAACACCAGUGGCGAAAGCGACUCACUGGGUCUUCUCUGACGCUGAGGCACGAAAGCUAGGGUAGCGAAC